AUUAAUUUUUUAUUUAAAUAAUAUAAAAUUUUAGAAUUCAUUAAUAUAUAAUUUAAUUAUAUAGAUAGUA